GUGGAAAUACAGGUCCUGUGAAAUGCCCUGUGGAUCCACUGGCUGCCCCAGCACCUGCUCUGUGCUCACCCUGACCCUCACAACCACUUCCACCAAAAGUUCCCCCAAAAAACCCAGGAACAAAGCAGCAGGAAAACCUAAUCCUACUUCUUAUGGUGCCAAUCCACCUGCUGCUCAAAGGCUGGACAACGCUGCUGCCCCUCACUCCACCCCAGCAUCAGCUGCUGGUGGCACCAAAAAUUCCAGGCUGGUGUGGGAGCAGCCCUGCAAUCCUCACUGGGCAGAGGGAGCCAGCCCAGCACCACCGACCCACCCCAGUAUCUGCCUAACUGGGCACAGUGCAGGGCAGCCAGACACAGAGCUGUAAAUUCAAUCAUCACCAGGUGUGUUGUUAUGAUUAUUAUUAUUAUUAUUAUUAUUAUUAAUCCAGGUGACCUUUCCUCCUGGAAGGAAUGACAAGCAACACGGUUUGGAAUCACCAGCAGUGGCAGGGACACGGGAUUACUGGGAAGGGAUGAGAUGGGAUGGGAGAGCCUGGCUGGCUCUGCUGCGAGGAGAUGCUUGGAGGAGGGGGGAAGAUGGGGCUGUGCUGCAUCUGCAGCAUUUCUGAGCCAGCAUUUGGGGAAAUGCCACCGUGAGGAGCCCAAAGCUUCACCCUGAGCAUCCCCCUCCAGACCUGCGCUGGGGAAGGACGCUCACAUCGCAAGGCGCAGCAGGAAGGGAUUUGUGCAGAGGUUAAAGACUGAGGGACAACUCCGGAGUGCAGAGGAGCAGGGGAGGGGUAGAGAGGAGCAGCAGGGAGCGCUUGGAGCUGUUAUUCCCCGGCUGACGCCACCGAGCCCUGCGGAGCGAGCCGGGCACAUGUUGCCAAGAGAGCACCAGCACCACCUCAGCCAAGCGCCCUCCCUGCUGCCCUCGGAAAGCAGAACAAAGCAGCUUCUGGCCCCAGCCAAGCCUGUUCCCACAUUCCUGCUCCCUCGCUGCCGGGCACAGCCACCCCUGUAACCUUUCUCCUUAAAAGUCAUUCCCCAGGGCUCCUCCGCUGCUCCGGGCGCGACUCAAGUUACACGGAGCGCCGAGCUGCCUUCAGGAGAAGGAUCUGACCUUCAGGGACAGGCAGCGAGGGGGAGAAAAAAAUGCAAAAAGAGCACAUGAUGCAGGGAAAUGGGUGCGAAGAAAUAGGAGAAAGGGAAGGACAAGUGGCACUCGCAUCUGCUGUCCUGCCAAGGAGACGGGCUCGGGGUAUUUGUAGCUGGUGACAAAAUAACUCCGAGAGGAGCAGCCAUCACCAGGGGGUGUACGCGGCGCACCGGCUGCGAGGAUGGAAAAGCAAACAAGUGUAAAGGAUGGUCAAAAACACAGGAGCCUUCCCGUUCGCAUCGUGUCGAUGAAUGAAGCUACAGGUUCAUUUCACAGCUCUCUCAACCAUCCCGGACGCUCAAACCGAGUGCCGAGACUCGCCGCUUCUGCCUUCCCUCCGUGCAGGAAACAACAGGCGAGAAGGAGGCGAAGGGAUGGAGCGGUGCGCUCCGUGCGAACUUCCAGCCCUUCCCCAGGAUAAAAUAUCCCGAGGGGGGGAAAAAAAAAAAAGGGGGGGGAGCAGCUGGUGCAUGGAAAGUUAUGAGCACAAACAGAUGCUGGAAGCAGAUGCUCGGGCGCUCCAG